CAGAAACUCCAUGUGGUACUCAAAUACCUGAUAGAGACAUAUGUAUGCAAAAUGCAACCUAGACAUGGCUAAAUCCUAAUCUAUAUGAUGAAAAUGCACAUGAAUAAAUGGAUAAGACAAUGUAAAUAUGCAAGAUAUCAUUUACCCAAGUAUUCUUCAUAUUAUGGUUUUUCAGAUUGCUUCAGUUGAAGAUUGAGAAACUAGAGAAAGAGAGAAACAGUGGCGAGAAGCCAUAUCUGUAACAAGAGAGAGAAAGAGAUAACGGAGAACAACAUCGGUUUUUAUUUGCGGUUUAUACGAAAAAGUAUAGCCGAGAUAACAUGUUGGUGAAAGGAGUCGGAGUCCAUCCUGCCUCACUCGCCCAAGUUGAUUAGAAGCCAGAGGUCUCGAGACCAACAAUGGUGCUGUUUUAUCUUUUUGCAUUGUUGGUCCCUUGUCUUUUGAUUAUUUAAGCUUUUACCUCAAAAUUCUUAAAUAUGCAGAAUGGUCUUCUUAAUGUAUGAACCCAUAUUCUUUAUUUAUCCACAACAUAUAUGACCAUAUUUCUCUUCCAUAAAAUACGUAAUUCACUUCACAUGGUUUCUCCAACAAAAAUUUAUGUUUUUAUAUAUUCAAAUUGCUAACAUAUAAAACUAUUUAGUCAUUUUUGGAAUGUACACAAUCAGAAUGUUCAUAUCCACAACUCCUUUGUCCAUGUUUUAGUCCAUACUAUUUUAUGUAUAAAUUUAAAAUAAAAAUAUCAAAGUUGAUGACAAAUUAUAGAGAAUAAAGAACAUAAUUUAUUACAUCAAGCAUUUUUUAUAUAUCUUUAAAUUUAAAAUAAAGUAAAACAAAAUAUAAAGAGGUAGAAUAAAUGAUAAUAAUAAAGAUAAACUAUGUCUUUUUCAUUUGGUUUGUUUUCCGUUACAUAAAACAGUGUAGUAUAUAAUAAUUAUAUAAAAUAUUAAUACCCAAGUGCUAUAACUAGUUACUUAUUGUUCUCAUUUCUUCUUAACAGAACGUCUACACUCUGUUUCAAGAACAAGGAUAAAUAUGUCAAAAAUCUCGUUGAUUAAAACACAAUGUGCCUCUUAAGUGGAAUGUGUCUUUAUCUGUAAAAAAAACACAAAUGUGCUCGUAUGUUUAAUACAUUCAUAAAGUUUUGUGAACAUUGUGUUGUAACUAGACACAAAAUUUUAUCAAAUUUUAUGCAAAAUAAACUAGAGACCUAAUUUAAUGGACUAAUCAGAAAGUUAAUAUUGAAUAAGUGAUGAAUCAACGAUGUAGAACAAGAUAUGAAACCAGUGUUAUAAGACUAUCCAAAGUGAACAUGUUAAAUUAUUAAUUCAACUGUUGAACAACGUGCAGCCAGGGUGUUGAUUUUGGGAAUAAAACAAAGGUAGUCUUAUUAACGGAACGUCUACACUCUGUUUCAAGAACAAGGGUAAAUAUGUCAAAAAUCUCGUUGAUUAAAACACAAUGUGCUUCUUAAGUGGAAUGUGUCUUUAUCUGUAAGAAAAACAUAAAUGUGCUCGUAUGUGUAAUACAUUCAUAAAGUUUUGUGAACAUUGUGUCGUAACUAGACACAAAAUUUUAUCAAAUUUUAUGCAAAAAAAACUAGAGACUUAAUUUAAUGGACUACCAGGAAGUUAAUAUUGAAUAAGUGAUGAAUCAACGAUGUAGAACAAGAUAUGAAACCAAUGUUAUAAGAAUAUCCAAAGUGAACAUGUUAAGUUAUUAAUUCAACUGUUGAACAACGUGCAACCAGAGUGUUGAUUUUGGGAAUAAAACACGUGGAUUCAUAAAAGUUGAAAGUAUUCAACCAAUUUUUUUCUUUCUGGGGCAGCUUUGACACUUGUUAAAUUUUAAUUAGAAAAAAUGUUGGACGCGUGUAUAACACUCAUGAUGUAUUUAGAUAGAGACACAUAUCUGAUUCUCAGUGGCUUUCCAGAUUCUUUUUUUUUUCAAAAAUAUUACCCAAUAAUUUGAACUCAUUUAUUUUAUACUAAAAUAUUUAAAAGAUAUUAUACAAAAACUCGUGAUUUUGUAUGAUCUAUAAAUGGAGACCAAUUUCAUUUAAUUUUGGUACAGAAAAUAAAACGUCAUUUUCACUAUAAUCAACUAUUUUGGUGUUAUAACAUUUAAAAAAUAUUGUACAAAAACUCGUGAUUUGUUAUGAUCUAUAAAUAGAGAUCAAUUUCAUUUCAUUUGGGUAUAAAAAAUAAAACGUCAUUUUUCACUCUAAUAAACUAUUUUGGUUUUUUAAUCUUCUUUUUGAUAAAUGGAUCGAGAUAAUAAUUCUUUUAACAUCUGAAAUUCUUCUAAUUUUCUUUGUAAUUACCCAAAUCCCCAAAAUUAUCAAUUUCAAAACUAAAUUUUCAAUUAACCAAAAAAUAUACCAAAUUAUGGUUUUUCACCAAAUUUCUUCAUGUCUUCAUUUUUCCAAACUAUCUUCCAUAUCAUCGAUCAAUGAUGAUUUAUUUUUCUCAAACACCUUAUUUUUUUUCUAUUUGAAAUAUUAUUGUAGCAACUGAUUUUUCUAAAUUAUCUAUGCCAAUACCUCUUGGUGGUAUGAGUAAUUUUAAUGAUUUCAUUUGUUUUAAUAAUAUAUUUUUUAAAAUAUAUGAAUAUCCAACUUGAAAAAAAUGGUAAUUUGUUUUGUCCUUUUAAAUAUUUAUUUUAAUUAUAAUAAAAAAUUAUUAAUAAAUAGUUAGUAUAUUGUAAAGGAUAAAAAUAUGAAUUAAAAAAUAGUGGGUAAAGUGUUGAAUUUAUUAAACAAAAAUAUGGUAGAUGUUACAAAAAUAAAGUGGUUGUUGAAUGAUUGUGUGGAAGAGAGAGAGAAGAUGAUGUGAAUGUUAAAAAGAUGAAAAUAGGGUGUUGAAUCAUGUAAUCAUUGUUAAUGGUGUAAAACUACCCACAAUGAAUCUGUUGAAAAACUUAAAAAUAUGAUGUGGAUUCAACCUGUUGGAAGAGCCAACAGUAGAACCCACAAAGUUAUCUUGAUCACUAUAAGACACACUUAAAUAAAUAAAAAGUUAUCAAAAAUGAAUUUUUAGUUUUUAAAAAAAAAUUAAAAUGAGUGAAUUGGUACACAUGUCAUUAUAUUAGUAGUUGUUUAGAUUUUAUAGAUUUUUAUUUCACCAUAGUUUUUAAGAUCAAUUAUUGUAUAUCAAAUAAUAUGUUUUUUAAAAUAAGUUAUAUCAAAAUUCAUAACUUUUUAUAUUCUAUAGAUAAAGACUUGGUUUCCUUGAUUUGGACACCAGAAAAUAAUUGUUUUCACUAUAUUGCAGUUUUUUUUUGUGUGUUAAUUAGAACAUAGUUGAAUUUUAAUAGUAUUAGUUGUACUAUUGAUAUUCAAAACUUAGUGAAGGAUAUAAAUAAAAAUUAGUAAAAACUUUGAUACUUUAAUUAUUUAAGUUAAUUAUAAUCAAAUUAUUAAUAUAGUUUAAAUUAUAAACAAUAAAAACUUAUGAAUUAAAAAUUAUGGGGUAUGAUGUUGAAUUUUAUUAAACAAAACUAUUGUAUGGUUAAAAAUGAAAUUGUUGUUGAAUAAUUAGGUGGAAAAACGAGAAAAUGAUAUAGAGUGUUAAAAAAUAAAAAAAAAUGAGGGUGGUAAAUUUACCCACAAUUGUAGAUAGUCUAACAUUAUCCACAAUGAUUUCAACAUUUCAUACACUCAACAUUAUCUGCUCUCUCUUCCCCGUCAUCGUUUCUAUCGUCUACAUAAUAAUUCAAUACCCACUCAUUUUUUAUAUUUCACAAUGGUUUGUUGAAAAAUACCCUACAAUUUUUUUUUCAUAAUUUUACGUUCUUAUAUGUUUCUUUUUCUGAUUAUAUAUUACUGCCAUCAUUUCGAUUUACUUGUCGUUUUAGGUUUGAUUUUUGUCACAAAUUAAGCGUCAUUCUCGUUUUUCAAUAUGAUUUAUACAAGAAAAUAACUAUUCUAACUUUAAUAUAAAAUAACAAAAUGUUUUAAAUUAACUAACUAUACUUCAAAAAAUCUUCGUUUAACAUCAUCUCAACCGCCAUUUUCUACAAUGAAAUAUUUUUCUUAUCUUUUCCAAUGUGGUCAACAUGUAUGUUAAAAUUGCCCAGACUGUUUAUAAUCUAAAGAUAACAAGCCUAUUUAUAUUUUUUCAGUAAUUAUUUUUGACAGAAAAUGGCACUGAUACUUUUGUUAUCACACGAUUUUUUAAAUCAAAAUAAUGCUUUUUAUUUGUUGAAUGUAAAAAGGUUUUGACCAGAAUUAGCCAUUGAUACUUUUGUUAUCGCACGAUUUGUUUAUAUACUGAUUGUCAAAAGUUUUGAACUGUUUACUUGCCUCCACUAUGUUUUGUUUUUGCGUAUAAUUAAACGUAAAAAUUUUAGUUUCCCUCUAAAUAUAUUGAUGUUAACAGGAGUAUGUAGUCAAUUUAAUUAAUUCAUUGAACUAAUAGUUAAAGAUAAUUUGGUGAAGAAUGCUAAGAGCCAAAAUAUUCGACAAGAAAAUUAUUUCUUACAACUAAUUUAAAAUAUUAAAUAGAUAACUAAACUUGUAAAUAAAUUUGAUUGAUAAGGGUAUAACAGAAAAAAUAUUAAUUUUCUUAAUCUGCGUGAUUUUCUAAAAUAACAAGUAAAUCAAAACGGAUGGGUAAUAAUUAUUGACUGUAAUUAAAUUGCAAUACAUAAGAUUUAAACAAAUGUUAUACCUAUUAAAGUAUUUAUAAUUCGCUAUAGAAAUUAAUUAUGUACCAUAAUAUUUAAUAAAAUAUUAAUAUAAGAGAAAACUGAAGAUAAAAAAUUAAAAAACCAAUUAUACAUAAGAUUAAAAUACAUGCAUGUGUUAUAGUACAUAUAUGAACGAAUAAAAAUUAUAUUUACUAUUUCAUUUUGUAAAAUAUUAAUUAACUAUACAAAUAUAAAUUUAUUAUAAAAAAAUAUUUUUAUAUCAAUAACAUGCAUAAAUUCAUAAAACUAAUAUAUAUAUAUAUAGAUAAUAUUUAAAAUUAUAUAGAUGAUUGAAAUGCUUGCAUAUGUUAUAAUAUAUUUGUAAAUAACAGGUUGAUUUUUACUGAGUAUUAUCGAAUAGAAAUUUAACUUAUUUUAAAAAAUUCAGAAGUUUCAUAAUUUAUUGAAGAAACAAAAAAAAUGUAUCUGAUUUUUGAAUUGUUUGGUGGAAAGAAGCAUAUGAGACAACCUUAAAAAAUAUGAAAAAUCAGUUAAACAUAAUAUAAAACUUCAUCUUAAAUUUUUAUAUAAAACAAGAAAAUAAAAAAAAAUUAUGAGUAGAGAAGAUUUUUGAUUUGAGGCUACCCGCGCUGCGAAGCAACUGGUACUUGAUUGGGCGGAAGGGGGAUGGGGGUUGUUUCUUGCAAGGUUCUCGCAAUAGUAAGAUGCAGUUGUCAUUUGAAAUGAAUGCCCUUUGAAAGAAGAAAAUGAAGAGUGUGUAGUAUUUUUAUAGACAAAGAGAAAAAGAAAAAAAGAUAGACAUGCAUUGGUGCCCAGAGUCGACAACCCACUCUUUUACCAUUUCCUGUAGGAAAGAUUUUUAUAAAAAAGUUUAUUCUUCAUGCAAGUACUUUUAUAUUUUAUUAUUGUUAAUGAUUCUACGUUUUUAAGUUUGAAUGAAAACUAAAUGUAAAGUCCGAUGCAUGUUAUUUUUUUUCUUCUUUUGUUAUGCCCCACAUUCAAUGCUUAAAGCAUGUUGAGUGAUUGGAGGAUAAGAUUUUCUCAAUAAAAGCCAAAAGUCACAUGUUACAUUAUUAAAAGAAAAAGUAGCAAACAAACAUUAUUAAAGCAUGAGGUGACAUGAUACAAACAAGCAUGAAGUGACAUGAUAUAAACAUCCACUUGGGACUACAAUUAAUUUCCAAAUAAUUUGUGGCUCAACUGUUGGGACAUUUCUCUGCUCUUGUUACUGAGAUGUACCUUUUCACUUGACUUCAACCACAUCUUUAUAUUCGUAGACCGAAUCUUUUAUUUCAUUAAUUUGUUUGCUUCUUCUUUCCUUUGGGUUGCCUCUUUUCACCUUUGGUUUCAAUUCUUUUGCAACAUGACUAAUUUUUUCAAGUGUUACAACUAUUGCCCUUUGAUUUGUUUGAAUUCAAUGAAAUUUUCAUUGACCACAUCCAAGGCUGGUAAGAGCCCAUAUUUUUAUCUUUUUUUCUUCUUAUAUGCAUUCAUCCCCAUUGGACGAGCACUAAAUUUUACAGAUCUGGAGUUUCGAGCAUCACUUUCAUGGGCUCUCUUAAAUCCACUGCUUCCAAAACCAGUAUUUCCUCAUACUUGACUACCAUAACGUGGUUGAUCACAGACAGCGAGCCAUCAUUCUGACAUUAAAUAAAAUGCCCAUUCUUAUCACUCUAAUAUAGCUCAUGCGCCAAUAUAUCAUUUUCGACUAAUACCUUGCUGCAUACACUUAGCGUUGUCGUAUGCACCAAUUCAUUUCUCCAAUAUUUUAAAACUGAUAGUUGUUGGAUUUGGAUAGUUAAAAGGAUGAUUAGUAGAACUUUGGGUGUUAAAAAGUUAUUUUUGGGAUUCAUUUCACUGAAAAAGGGAAAAUAUAUAAACAAGAGUUUAUUGUAGUCUACUAGAAAAUAUAGUAGAAAUAGAUAAGUUUUUUUUGUUUCAAAAUUAAAUGGAGCAAGUCUCUAUUUAUAAAAUAUGAAACAUGAUAAUCUUGGUGUAAAAAUAUAUUUUUUCAAAAUUAUUUAAUGAAAUAAUUUAUCUCAAUUAAUUCAGACGAAAAACAAAUCAGAAAUCUCUAUAGCCAAUAACUUCAUGAAAGGUGGUCAUUGAUGGCUUCACUCUGGCUCCACUUUACCGAUUCAACAUUGUUAAAUUCUUUCAAAUUUAUUUAAUAUAAGUAUGAUUCAACUUGUUUUUCAAUAGACCAUUGUCUUUUCAACUAUUGAUUUUUUUUUAUUAUUCAAUAGCUCAUUGUAGAUAGUCUAAAAUUGAAGUUUGAGUGAGAGUGGACAAAACAAAAUGGACACCUGAGCAUGGAUAAAACAAAGUGGAAAGUGAGUUUGAACAUGUGUGUACAUCAUAUUGUGGAUAAGUGAAUCUGCAUAUCUAAUUAUCUAAUUAUAUAAAAAGAUGUUUGCUCCCUCCUGGUGCUGCCAUGUCACUAAGUCGUGCGUUCUGGGAGCGACACCUGUCCGCUUUAACAAAACUCACCGUUUCAUUUAUUUAGGUUUAUAAUUUGUUUGGGCUUUUGCUUAUAUUUGAUGUCUGCUUUUUGUUUUAUAAAGCCCAUUCGUCGUCUCUAACAUCGGAACUUCCGGAUCCGUCGUUGUCGCUCUCAAGAUUAACCGCUGACUUUAUUCACCGAUUUUUGGAUUUGAUUCAUUGUCUCUGAUCUAGGAUCCACACAGAACAAUCCACCUUAGAUGCAGAGCUUGACAGAUGUUGGUGAUGCCCUCACGCUCUCAAGGUCCUUUCUUUUAUCCAUUAUAUAAAAAGAUGUUUGCUCCCUCCUGGUGCUGCCAUGUCACUAAGUCGUGCGUUCUGGGAGCGACACCUGUCCGCUUUAACAAAACUCACCAUUUUAUUUGUUUAGGUUUAUAAUUUUUUUUGGGCUUUUGCUUAUAUUCGAUGUCUGGUUUUUGUUUUAUAAAGCCCAUUCGUCGUCUCUAACAUCAGAACUUCCAGAUCCGUCGUUGUCGCUCUCAAGAUUAACCGCUGACUUUAUUCACCGAUUUUUGGAUUUGAUUCAUUGUCUCUGAUCUAGGAUCCACACAGAACAAUCCACCUUAGAUGCAGAGCUUGACAGAUGUUGGUGAUCCCCUCACGCUCUCAAGGUCCUUUAUUUUAUCCAAUAUUGUUUUUUUUUCUAUUUAGAAUUUGUCUUCAUGUAUAUGUUUGUUUCUCCAAAUGAAUUGCAAAAACUUUUUCUUUCCUUUUUGGUUUCGAUGAAAUAAAAUAUUAGAAGAAAAACUGGUAAAGGUUCAAUUUUGAGAGACCUCGAAAAUCUGUGUUGGUGUUAUCCAAUAACAUCGGUUGCUUGAACUAAAGAAAAUGUAGUGGGAACCUUGAUUGAAUGCCAUAUUACGAACUGCUACUUCGUCGCCUCAAGGUGGACGGGAAGCUUAACCAUGAAGGUUUCGUAGAUCCGUUUAUACAUUCCGAACUUCAAGGGAAAACAAAAUUGUAUGAUAAGGGUUCUUACUUUAUUAGAUCCAUUUCUCUUAGUGUCAAUGUUUGUUUCUCCAAAUGAAUCGCAAGAACUUUUUCUUUCCGUUUCGUUUUUGUCUAUAUUACUUGGUAUUUACUAUAUACGACAUUUGUAAAUAUAUAUAGAGACUACAUCGUAAUGUUCUUUUCCUCUUUGGAAAUGUGUCUAACUUUUUUAUGCAGUUAAUAAUCCGAAAAUAUCUGGUACAACAUUCAACGAGGCACUUCUUAGCCUAUUUUAUCCUUUAGGUGAACUACAAAGUGUUUCAAUUACCUGACUAAUACCACAUUGAAAUUUAUAUUGGUCUCAACUGAUUUGGAUGUCAGAGAAACCAAAGUGAGAAAUGUGCAGCUUUUCAUCAACUCAGAUACUACUCAAGUUUACAUUAAGCUAAGCUCUUGCAACACACUAUUUCAUGCUCUUUCAAUGUCGAUUAAGAAGAAGGCUGAGGUUUUUAAAGUUCUUUCUAUGAACUUUAACAUGGUAUCAAGCACAUGGGUUGGUUGCUGAGGUUCACAACAAGACAAUCUCGGUAAGAGUUUGACUAUUUAGUGGUGGAUAUUGAUUGGAUUUUUAAUUAAGCAGGAAGCAACAUAGGUUAUGGGGGUCAGUUGAAAGCAAAGAAGAAACUAUCGUAGAAACAGAGGAAAUAAUAAAAGCCAAAAGCUAAAGCCAUGAAGACUAUACCAAUGUAGAAUAUAGCUGGAGUUCCUAUGGUUGUGAAGAAAUGGACGCCUAAGGUAGAAGAGGAUAAGCAGGAGGAGGAAGCUAUACCAAUGUGGGUGCAUUUAAGAAAGAUUCCUCUGAACACGUUCUCAUGGGAGGCUCGAAGCUUCAUGACGAGUACUGUGGAGUUUCCUGUUCGUCUUCACCCAAAGACAAUGUCUUGUUCAAAAUAUGAAGAAGCGAAAGUGUUUGUGAAUGUUGAUAUUUCGAAGACGUUGCCUAAGGAGAUUGAUUUCACAAUGGGAGGGAAGGAGUUCACUGCUGAAUUUUAUUACACAUGGUUACCUUCUCGAUGUAACUUGUGCGAGAAAUGGGGACAUACAGACAAGGUUUGUGUGAGGAAGAAAAGAGAUAAGAAGAUAGAGGGGAAGGAAACUGGUGAGAAGAAUUGUGAUAAAGUGGGAAGUGAAGCUAUAGUAGGGUUGAGGGAGAAAGAUAGUAAACAGGAGGAAGAGUUACAGAACCGGGAGGUAGUCAUUUCGGAGGAUGAUUCUAUUGGAGAAGUUAAUAAGGCUGAAAUGGUAGGCACUGGGGAAAAACAGGUGAGAGGUAGUGGUUGGUCACUUGUCUCACCAGAUAAAAUAGGGAGAGUGCAAAAUUCUCUGCAGAGAGAUGCUAGUGAAGUCCAAAUCUCGGCGUCAAAGUAUUAUGUUCUUUCAAUAGAUGAAGUUGAGGAGGGUGAACUAGAAGAAUCACAGGAAGUGGAGAGUGAGGAACAUGAGGAAGCGGAGAAUACAAAUAUAUUGGAAGGAGAUUUGUUGGAGGAUGAGAUCCUGGAAGAGAAAAACAAGGUAGUAAAACUAAGAGGUGGAAGAAGAGUUCAGAAGACCAAGGCUCAUGAGGUUCAGCCGAAGAGUAAAAGGUCUUCUCGGUGAAAUCUUUAAAAAUGACGUGCUUUUUCUGGAAUGUUCGUGGAUUCAAUAAAGAUUUGAAGCAUUCCAUAGUAAAAGAGUGGGUAAAUAUAAUAAGGAGUUGAAGUUUGGUUGUAUAUUGGAAACUAGAGUUAAGGAAGGGAAAGCAUGGAAGAUUUUAAGAGGAGUACUGUUUGGAGAUUGGUCAUCAAUAACAAAUUACGAAGAUAGCCAAGGAGGAAGAAUAUGGUUAUUAUGGAGAGAUACGAUUCGUAUGAUGCCUGUAUAUAAAUCUGAUCAGAUAGUCAUUUGUUUGGUGGAGAUGAAAGGAGAAGAAAAGUUCUAUUGCUGAUGUAUAUAUGUGAGUAAUCAAGUAGAGGGUGGGAAGGAAUUGUGGGAGGAUCUUGUGCAUCAUCAUAGUUCUCCUAGCUUCAAAAAUAAAGCUUGGAUGAUCAUGGGAGACUUUAAUGAAAUUCUUGAUGGAGCUGAGAGUUCGAGGUUUGAUAACAUGAGUAGGAUCCCGUGUGGAAUGAGAGACUUUCAGAGUUUGGUUCUUCAGUGUCAGCUCUCUGACAUUAUCAAGGGCCACAGUUUACAUGAGUAAUAAGAGGGAGGAUGGAGUAAUUUGCAAGAAGCUGGACAGGGUAUUACUAAAUAAAGAGGGUCUGCAAAGAUUUAGUAAUGCUUAUGCAGUUUUUGAAGCAGGGGGAUGUUUGGAUCACAUGAGGUGCAAAGUUCAACUGUUUCCUCCGAGUGAGAAAGUCAAAAGACCCUUCAAGUAUAUCAAUGUGAUAGGUAGCCUGCCUGACUUUCUUCCUAUGGUCCAGAGGUAUUGGGAUACAACGAAAAGACUGUUUCACUCUACCUCGGCGUUGUUCAGAUUCUCAAAGAAGUUAAAGCAUUUGAAGCCGUUGAUUCGUGAGUUGGGAAGAGAUAAGAUGGGCAACUUAACAAUUCGAGCAAAAGAGGCGUAUGAUCUGCUAUGUGUGAAGCAGAGUAACACACUAGCAAAUCCGAGCGAAGCAUCUGUCAAAGAGGAGGCAUAAACAUAUGGUAAAUGCCUACAUGUGGCAAGUCUAGAAGAAGAAUACUUAAAGCAGAAAGCGAAGCUACAUUGGCUAGAUAGUGGAGAUAAGAAUAAUAAGACGUUUUAUCGAGCUAUCAAAACCCGACAAGCUCAGAACAUGAUCAGGGAGAUAAGAUGUACAUAUGGAAGAGUGGUGACUAAACAUUCAGAGAUAAAGCAAGAGGCAGAGAAUUUUUUUUUCAGAAUUUCUAAAUCACAAGCCAGAGAAUUACAAGGGUGCAUCUGAGGAGGAGUUACAGGAAUUGCUAAAGUUUCGUUGCUCAUCUGAGGAUUGUAGUAUUCUUGAAGCAAAAGUUACUGAAGAUGGAAUUCAGAAAGUUCUCUUUGCUAUGCCGAACAACAAGGCUCCAGGGACAGACGGCUACCCGUGUGGGUUUUUCAAAACAGCUUGGUCGGUUAUAUCUCAGGAUUUCAUUGUUGCGGUACAAUCAGUCUUCAGAUUUGGGUUUUUGCCAAAGGGUGUUAAUUCGACAAUUCUUGCGUUAGUUCCUAAGAAAUUUGAUUCGAUGGAGAUGAAAGAUUACCAUCCUAUUGUAUGCUGUAACGUACUCUAUAAGGUUGUGUCAAUUUUUUUGGCAAAUCGACUGAAGAAGCUACUUCCAAGAAUCAUAACAAAGACUCAGCCGGCUUUUAUACAAGGUAGACUUCUCAUGGAGAAUAUGCUGCUUGCAUCUGAGCUUGUUAAGGGUUAUCACAAGGAUGCAGUGUCUUCAAGGUGUGUUAUGAAGAUUGACAUUGCUAAAGCAUUCGACUCGGUGCAAUGGGAGUUUGUUCUGAAGAGUUUGAGGGUAUUGGGUUUCCCGGAAAGGUUUAUCCAUUGGAUUGAGCUAUGUAUCACAAGCCCAUCCUGUUCUCUGCAAGUCAUUGGUGAUCUAGCUGGCUAUUUCCAAAGCUCGAGGGGUCUUCGUCAGGGAUGUUCUCUGUCUCCGUAUUUGUUUGUUCUCUAUAUGAACGUGCAAUCUUUAAAAAUAGAUAGAGCAGUGGCUGAUAAGAAGUUCAAACUACAUCCGGGAUGUAAGAAGCUUUCUAGAACACAUCUUUGUUUGCAGAUGACUUAAUGGUGUUCGUUGAAGGUUCUAAAAAGUCUAUAGAGGGAGCCCCUUUCUGUGUUUGAUGAGUUUGAAGAGUGGUCAGGGUUACAAAUUAGCCUAGAGAAAUCUACAAUAUAUAUGGCAGGAGUACCGGAGGCAGAGAAAAGGAGUAUCUUAACUAACUUCCCAUUUGCUGAAGGUGAACUUCCAGUGAGGUAUCUGGGACUCCCCCUUAUGACCCAAGUGAUGAGGAAGCAAGACUAUCUUUCGCUACUGGAAAAUAUCAGAAGCAGAAUAAGCUCUUGGACGUGCAGAUUCUUGUCAUAUGCCGGUAGACUGCAGUUAAUAAAACAAGUUUUAAUGAGUCUAAUCAAACUUCUGGUUAGUAGUAUUUAGUCUCCCAAGUGCUUGUAUUAAAGAGGUGGAGCAAUGCGCAACAUUUCUUUGGACAGGACCAAUACUUAAGUCGUCAAAUGCCAAAGUAGCGUGGAGAGAUGUCUGUAGUAUGAAGAGUGAAGGUGGUCUGGGACUAAGAGAUCUAAAGGAAGUUAAUAAGGUAUAUGGCCUUAAGUUGAUAUGGAUAAUGUUAUCGGGUGACUCGCUGUGGGGUAAAUGUAUCAAAGAAAAUUUUCUGAAAGGGAAAAGUUUCUGGAAAUUAAGCGUCAAUACUCAGAAUGGAUCUUGGAUGUGGCGUAAAAUAUUGAAACUUAGAGAAGUUGCAAAGAUGUUUCACAAGAAAUAGCUGGGUAAUGGAAGACAUAUAUCUUUCUGGUUUGAUAACUGGUCGAAUAAGGGAGCUCUCUUUGAUUUGCUAGGGCCUCGAGGCAUUAUCGACUUGGGAGUGAGUAGGGUUGCGACUUUGGAGGAAGCUGUGUUAAAUACUAGAAGGAGACGCAUGACACCGUAUGAGUUUACUCAUUGAAAUAGAGGAGGAGUUGAUUAUUAUUGGGGGAAAGCUAAAUCAAGAGAGAAAGGAUGUGAGUCUAUGGAAAGGGAAAUCAGGAUUUAAACAAAGAUUUUCAACUAGUGAAACUUGGUUGUUGCUCAGAGAGAGUAAGACACAAUGCUCUUGGGCUCGGGGUAUAUGGUUUUCUCAAGAAACUCCAAAGUUUGCAUUCAUGGUGUGGUUGUUGAUAAGAGAUAGAAUGUCGACCUUAGACAGAGCAUCAAGAUGGAGCCAGGGACUGGACACUACAUGUGUGCUCUGUAAAAAUGCUGCAGAAACGAGGAGUCACUUAUUCUUCGAAAGUGAUUACUAUGCACAGAUAUGGGAGUUUAUAGCCAAAGGUAUUUUACGAGACUCCUAUACAGUUAUCUGGUCUGAGAUCUUGGCUAUUCUAUUGGAUGAGAAAAGAGAAAAGAUGAGCCUCUUCUGUAUAAGAUAUGCUUUCCAAGAAGUUCUGUAUGCAGUAUGGAGAGAGCGUAACAAGCUUAUGCAUGGUGAUAAGUUAUUGCCACUACCAGUGAUUAAAAGGAUGAUUGAUAAGGGAAUCCGCAACAAGAUCUCUUUGAUGAGAGUGAAAGGGAUCAAGGGAAUGGAGAAGCUGAUGCAAUUUUGGUUCCUUACUAGAAUGUAAAAAGAUGAUAGCUUUAUUAAAA